GAGGAUUGCCACCUGCGUGGCUACAGUGCUUUAUGGUGUGAACAAAUUCAGCAAUUGCUCACCUUUUGUAUAAUUCAGCUGUGACCUUUAGGCAUAUAGACUGGUAUGGAAAACGUAUUUACUCUGUAAUAAUCGACUGAAAUGGAGCGAGGUCUCAGUCGACCAUGUGAACAUGCACCGGCGCCAGUGAGGUUUUAGAGUUAGGGUUGCCGGGUUUAGGGCUGCCGGGAUUUUAGGGGUCCUCCUGUGAUCUCCGAGCUUAGAUGAAGGGCUUCGAGGGCAGUAGACGAGAUCAAUUUCAGUCGAUCAUGUGAACGCACAUUGCUAGCGAGUAAGCAGCGGUGGUUUUAGGGUUUUGGGUUUUCCGGUGGGGUUCCAUGUAUUCCGAGCUUAGAAGGAAGCUCGGGGAGGUAGGUAGGACAGACGGUGGUGGCAGGAGAGACGGCAGGGUGGUGGGAAGACCACUGGUGGACAGGGGCGUCACGUGCCGAUGGGUUAGCGCAGCGGUGGCAGACCCGGCGAUGGGGACACCGCUGGGGAUGGACACAAGCGGGUGGGAGGUGGGGGCGUCGCGAUGAGUUCGUAUCGGAAGCUGUAGUGUCGGAGAAGAGAGUGGCCGGAGGAAGAAGAACUGUGCAUGGCCAUCGGAUGGAGAAUGGAUGGCGCUGAUCAAGGUGGCCCAUUCUGUUGAGCUGGGGACUGCAAAGCAUGGGUGGCUUCAGCCAGUGUCCUCAGGUUGUUUAGAUCAAGGGACCGAUGUCUCCAGGACAAUGGCAGGGAAUGAUGGAGUUGCUCUGAAAUCUGUGUUGUGCGGGGCAAGGUUGCGCAGGACUAUUGAUGCAUCACUGAGAGAGGGAGGGUCCAUGAGAGCCCCAUUCUUGAAGCACAGAGUGAAGAAGUUUGAUCUAUCUAGCCUAAAUUGGAUCGAUGAGAUUCCAGAUUGCCCCAUGUUUUCUCCUUCAAUCGAGGAGUUUGAGGAUCCAAUGGUUUAUCUCAGUAAAAUUGCCCCUGUGGCUGCAAAAUAUGGUAUAUGCAAGAUCGUUUCACCUCUCUCUGCUUCUGUACCUGCUGGCUCUGUACUGAUGAAGGAACUAGGUGGGAUUAAGUUUACAACCAGAGUUCAACCUCUCCGUCUUGCUGAAUGGUCUAAGGAUGACAAGUUUGCUUUCUUCAUGAGUGGAAGAAAGUACACAUUUCGAGAGUUUGAGAAGAUGGCAAAUAAAGAGUUUGUUCGACGAUAUUCUAGUGCUGCCUGUCUUCCAUCAAGGUAUAUGGAAGAGGAAUUUUGGCAUGAAAUAGCUUUCGGCAAGAUGGAGUCUGUUGAGUAUGCAUGUGAUAUUGAUGGUAGUGCCUUCUCUUCUUCUCCUAAUGACCAACUUGGGAGAAGCAAAUGGAACUUGAAGAGACUCUCACAGUUGCCCAACUCUACACUGCGUCUUCUCAGAGCGGCAGUUCCAGGAAUAACAGAUCCAAUGCUGUAUAUUGGAAUGCUCUUUAGUAUGUUUGCCUGGCAUGUGGAAGACCAUUACUUGUACAGCAUUAACUAUCACCACUGUGGGGCCUCAAAAACAUGGUAUGGCAUUCCAGGCAGUGCUGCUUCCGAUUUUGAGAAAGUGGCACGUGAGCAUGUAUAUGAUCAUGAAAUUUUAUCAGGUGAAGGGGAAAAUGCAGCAUUUGAUUUUCUUUUGGGGAAGACUACAAUCUUCCCUCCAAAUAUUUUGCUGCAUCGUCGAGUUCCUGUCUAUAGAGCUGUACAGAAACCUGGAGAGUUUGUUGUAACCUUUCCCCGAGCUUAUCAUUCUGGUUUCAGCCAUGGUUUUAAUUGUGGCGAGGCAGUGAAUUUUGCUAUGAGGGAAUGGUUUCCUCUGGGAGCAAUUGCUAGUCAACGUUAUGCACUUCUAAAGAGGAUACCAGUACUACCUUAUGAGGAGCUUCUUUGUAAAGAAAUGGCACUUGUUGCUGAUGAGUUUUCCACGUCUGAUCACAAAGAUAUAACACUAACCGGAGAUACACAUAUACGGAGCUGUAUGAAGGCCCCUUUUGUGCAGUUGAUGCGAUUCCAACACCGCGUUCGUUGGUCACUUAUGAAAAUGGGUGCUCGCACACACUCUAAAGCAGACAUUGAUGCCACAGUUCUUUGUGGCAUUUGCAAACGCGACUGCUAUCUAGCUCACGUUAUGUGCAACUGCAGAGUUGAUGCAAUUUGCCUUUGCCAUGAGGAAGAGAUUAGGAAGUGCCCUUGCAGCUGUGAUCGUGUUGUAUUUGUGAGGAAAGACAUCUUUGAAUUGGAGGCACUAUCAAAGAAAUUUGAGGAGGAAACUGGGUUGCUGGAUGCAGUAGGAAAACAAAUGUCUCAGAGUGAUGGCUCGUUCACGCACCCUUACUUGUUCAACUGCAUUAACCGCAAUGUUAAAUACUUCCCAUAUUGCAAGAUUCAAAUAGAUGCAUCCCCUGAAGUUCAUACCAUUUCAGAGACAGACGUUCUUGGAUAUGAUUUGAACAAGCCGCAUCCUACAGCAUCAACAAUAACUUUUUCACAUGGAUCCCAUUACUAUUCUACACAAAGUGAUGAGUGUACUAGUUCUAACAGAAGAACCUUCUUUAGCUCCUGUCCUGAAAAUGCAAUUACUCCUGAAGCUGCAACAAUUAAUGCUUAUCCUUUAUCUACUUCUGAUCAAGCAUUCUCGUCUGACAAAUUAGCUGCACAAGAUACUGAUGAUUCUGACACUGAGGUAUUUAGAGUGAAGAGAAGGUCUGGCAUAGUUCUGGAGAAAAGAUGUUCAGAAAACGUAACAAGAAAUUUAACUGAAAAUCAGGUUUUAAAACGGUUAAAGAAAACCCAUUCAGAUGACAGACAAGAGAAGAAGUUGACAGAGUUAUCUUGUGAUACAAGAAGUGAUACUGUCCGUACUUCAUUACAUUGUGUUGACUCCAUUUCUGGAAAUGGAGACAACUUAACCAGUCCGACCAAAUUGAAGAUGAUACAUCAGCUAGAUGCAAAUAUUGUGGAAGACAAGGACGCAUUCAGCCAUAAAUCUAAUGGUUGCAGUUACCUAUCUCCAUCUGUAGAGCUUGGGCCAAAACGCUUGAAAAUUCGUGGCCCGUCGUUUCCCAACACAAAUUCUGAACUGGAAAUAUCUUAUAGAUUCCAGGAGGACAGUGACUUGGCUAGUCAGCACGCUCAAUGAAGUAUGGUACUAUUGGUGCUAACUUCUAACACCACGUAAGUUAACAGCAAUCGUUACUUCUGGAGGCUGAAAUUCCAAUUUGUUGGUCGGCCAGUUGGUAAUGGAUGGUUCAGAACUGAUUCUUUCUACAGACCUCCAAUAGAGGCACUGUUAUAGCUGGAUUCACGAUUCUAUUGUCAGGUCACCUAUGUGGCAUGGGACCUGAAAGCAGUAGGCAAACAAUUUCUGAUGUUCCGUAGUUGUGCAUCUUCACUUAUCUCCUUCCUUGUAGGUUUUCUACUGUGAAGAGGUUUUGCUAGAUCCUAUCCUCGGUAAAUAAUUUGUAAAGGAGUGGCUUCUAUCUGUGGAAUGAAUUCCUCCAUUCUAAUUCCCGGCAAGACUUCAGGUAGUCUAGGUAGAAAUCACCUGCUAUUUCUUGUCUUCACGCUUUUACAAAAUUCUGCAAAUUAUGCAUCAUACCUCGUAUCGUUAGCUUUGCAUACCAUACUAAAUUACGCUGUCAUGGUGGGACAAGCACAAUAGCCCAGUGCUCGAUUUCUUACUUUCACUUAUCCAUGCACCAUCAUUCUGCUCGACCUGUUGAGUUACUGAAAACGCCAUGAGGGCAUACAGGAGCCAUAAACUCGGCAGUUCGGUAUGAUUUUUGCACGACUAUCACGGCUUUGCGUUGGUAAAGAGGGCUAGUCCUCCACGAAAAUCUAAUGAUGGGUUCAUAAGGAAAGAUUUGAUAUCUUUUUCUUACUUUGCCUAUUCACUUUUCAUUCUUUUGUGCAUGUUCUCGAAAAAUAUAUGUCAUCAAAUCAUCGUAUGUCUUUAAAGACAAGUAAAAAAGACGGAUUCUCUUUGCUGCCACUCUCCCAUGUCGACGAUGAUUAACUGUGACUGCUGACUGAAGCUUUGUCAAGACCCAAGAAGACUGCACUUUGUGCCCGUUCUGUUUUCUAUUCGGCUAUCAUGUCAGCCUCAUCGUGACGAAAAAGACUCGAUUUCCUAAUUCGCAACGGCUCAGCUUUAAGGUGAAGAUAUGCUUCAUAUAA